rnacentral:rRNA from 1 species
UACGUAGGGGGCAAGCGUUGUCCGGAAUCAUUGGGCGUAAAGAGCGUGUAGGCGGUUCGGUAAGUCGGCUGUGAAAGUCCAGGGCUCAACCCUGGGAUGCCGGUCGAUACUGCCGGGCUAGAGUCCGGAAGAGGCGAGUGGAAUUCCUGGUGUAGCGGUGGAAUGCGCAGAUAUCAGGAGGAACACCAAUAGCGAAGGCAGCUCGCUGGGACGGUACUGACGCUAAGGCGCGAAAGCGUGGGGAGCAAACAGG